rnacentral:rRNA from 1 species
UGGGGAAUAUUGCACAAUGGGCGGAAGCCUGAUGCAGCGACGCCGCGUGGGGGGAUGACGGCCUUCGGGUUGUAAACCUCUUUCAGUGCAGAACAAGGCUCUUUGUGGGUUGAGGGUAUGCGCAGAAGAAGCGCCGGCUAACUACGUGCCAGCAGCCGCGGUAAUACGUAGGGUCCGAGCGUUGUCCGGAAUUACUGGGCGUAAAGAGCUCGUAGGUGGUUUGUCGCGUUGUUCGUGAAAACUCACAGCUUAACUGUGGGCGUGCGGGCGAUACGGGCAGACUGGAGUACUGCAGGGGAGACUGGAAUUCCUGGUGUAGCGGUGGAAUGCGCAGAUAUCAGGAGGAACACCGGUGGCGAAGGCGGGUCUCUGGGCAGUAACUGACGCUGAGGAGCGAAAGCGUGGGGAGCGAACAGG